GACGAACGCUGGCGGCGCGCUUAACACAUGCAAGUCGAACGGAAAGGCCUGCUUUCCCUUGUGGAUUGCGGGUACUCGAGUGGCGAACGGGUGAGUAACACGUGAGUGAUCUGCCCCCAACUUGGGUAUAAGCCUGGGAAACUGGGUCUAAUUCCCGAUAGGACUGCAGGGUGGUGCCUGUGGUGGAAAACGAUUUUCUAGUGGUUGGGGAUGAGCUCGCGGCCUAUCAGCUUGUUGGUGGGGUAAUGGCCUACCAAGGCGGCGACGGGUAGCCGGCCUGAGAGGGUGGACGGCCACAUUGGGACUGAGAUACGGCCCAGACUCCUACGGGAGGCAGCAGUGGGGAAUAUUGCACAAUGGGCGGAAGCCUGAUGCAGCGAGGCCGCGUGGGGGAUGACGGCCUUCGGGUUGUAAACUCCUUUCGACCGCGAGGAAGCCACCUGGUUGGAAGGGUGGUGACGGUAGUGGUAGAAGAAGCACCGGCUAACUACGUG
rnacentral:rRNA from 1 species